UACGGAGGGUGCAAGCGUUAUCCGGAUUCACUGGGUUUAAAGGGUGCGUAGGUGGCCUUGUAAGUCAGUGGUGAAAGCCCGGAGCUCAACUCCGGAACUGCCAUUGAUACUGCAGGUCUUGAGUACACUUGAGGUGGGCGGAAUACAUCAUGUAGUGGUGAAAUACUUAGAUAUGAUGUAGGACACCGAUUGCGAAGGCAGCUCACUAAAUUGUAACUGACACUGAGGCACGAAAGCGUGGGGAUCAAACAGG
rnacentral:rRNA from 1 species